rnacentral:lncRNA from 10 species
CGCCGCCGCCGCCGCCCGCCGCCCCUCUGCCAGCAGCUCCGGCGCCACCUCGGGCCGGCGUCUCCGGCGGGCGGGAGCCAGGCGCUGACGGGCGCGGCGGGGGCGGCCGAGCGCUCCUGCGGCUGCGACUCAGGCUCCGGCGUCUGCGCUUCCCCAUGGGGCUGGCCUGCGGCGCCUGGGCGCUCUGAGAUUGUCACUGCUGUUCCAAGGGCACACGCAGAGGGAUUUGGAAUUCCUGGAGAGUUGCCUUUGUGAGAAGCUGGAAAUAUUUCUUUCAAUUCCAUCUCUUAGUUUUCCAUAGGAACAUCAAGAAAUCAUGAACAACUUUGGUAAUGAAGAGUUUGACUGCCACUUCCUCGAUGAAGGUUUUACUGCCAAGGACAUUCUGGACCAGAAAAUUAAUGAAGUUUCUUCUUCUUCAAAUGUAAUGAUAGCAAAGCCAUCGUGAAGACCCUUGCUGCUACCGGGACAGGAUUUGACUGUGCUAGCAAGACUGAAAUACAGUUGGUGCAGAGUCUGGGGGUGCCUCCAGAGAGGAUUAUCUAUGCAAAUCCUUGUAAACAAGUAUCUCAAAUUAAGUAUGCUGCUAAUAAUGGAGUCCAGAUGAUGACUUUUGAUAGUGAAGUUGAGUUGAUGAAAGUUGCCAGAGCACAUCCCAAAGCAAA